GGGGAUGUGUUGGAAUUUGGUAUACAAGAUGGUCUCAAAAACCAUUGGGCUUUAGCCCGUGAGGGUUCGAUCCCCUCCAUCCCCA
rnacentral:tRNA from 1 species